AAAAAGUGGAAAAAAAAUGUAUCUCAGGCGUACUGCCUCGAGAACUGGUGAAAUUCUCUAGGUAUUUGUAAUCAACACAAAUGGAGAAAAUAAAGCUAGUUCCCAGAACUUGCCCUUGCUGCUGCCACACCGACACUCUGAGAGCUUCAAGUCACUGUCUUUUAAGAAGAGUGCCUUGGAAACCAGAAUUUAAAUGCAAUGUUUGGGGAGAAAGAGAAGAGAUGCAUUUGCAUGUCUGACCUCUGUCAUUACCUGUAAACACCAGGGAAGAGAAACCCAAGGAGCAUCGAAAAGUGUCACAAGGCCAGAAAAACUCUGCAUCACUUUGGAAAGCAUUGUUUGUGAGUGAAAAUGUUUACAGAGCAACACCAUAUACAUAAGUGCAAGAAGCUUCUCUGACCAAGGCUGAGAACAGCACCAAGCUAUGAUGGUAAACACAAAUAUUUAGAAGACAGUUUAAGCAUGAUCCAUGAGCAUUUAACUAAGCAACAGUAGGUUCCUCUGUACUCUUAGAGCCUAUGACUUCCCCAUCCUUGGCCUCUUGUUCAGGUUUAUGGUAAUAGGUGUGCAUUGCUUCCUGUGCCAAAAACCUGAAAUGCAAUUAGAAAGUAGUUACCUCAGAGCAAUCAUGCCUCUAUUGCAUUCCAAACAUAGCUUGCCUGAGAUUGCUAUUGUAGCUCCCAGGUACAACCUCUUUGUACAUUGAUUGAUGACUUUUCUCCAUCAAUUAUCUAUACCUCUUGGCACUAUAAAAGUGGUCCACUGGGGAUGAAAUUUCUAGGUCAGUUCCAGCUUUGUUUUUUAUGUCCCACAAUCAAGCCUACAGUGUCUUUAGCCUACAAGCCUAAGAUGGUAUAGUAGGCAACCAAGAACAAUGACAAUAGCUUGUGUCAUUUGGAGAGCCUCUAGGGACUCCUUGACUAAUAACUAGGAGAAGGCAUACCACACCAAACACCAAUAUUUUCAUUUAAUAACGCAUGUGUAACAGAUACUCUUAGUUCAAUUUUAUGAUCUGGAAUGAACUAAAAUACAAGAGAAUGGGCACAUCUGCCAAGUGUUUAAUCAGAUUAUCUGGAGAAAGAAGGUCCCCUCU